UUAUUUGCUUUUUAAGAUUUUUAUCCUUAUACUGAAUCUGUUGGGGAUACCUAACUACAAUGCUAAACGCUUUAUGGAAUAGGCGUCAUGGACCCGGGGGCAGUGCCCGGCGGCUCCACCAUAAGUCGUUAGUUUACAAUGUUCAGUGGAAGAAAAGAUUUCAACACCCACUCUGCCUUGUUGCUGACUGCUUCUGAUGGGGCCGAAACAGGAUCGACAUGCGUAAUAAAGAUAAAGUCUGCGUUCGUUUGAGAUACGGUCGUCAUCCGUUCAAGCAUGAUAAAUGCAAAUGAUAACGUACAGACCGUAGCAGCCAAUGACAACGUUUACGUUGCCGCUGGUGACAAAAUCGCCGCUUAAUUGCGCUGAUGAAGCUACAUAAUCCCUUUGGCUACGGCUGGGGGUGGGGCGCGGGGUGGCCUAUCAACAGAAUAGCCCCAUU
rnacentral:tmRNA from 1 species